rnacentral:rRNA from 1 species
GACGAACGCUGGCGGCGUGCUUAACACAUGCAAGUCGAACGGAAAGGCCCUGCUUUUGUGGGGUGCUCGAGUGGCGAACGGGUGAGAAACAUGUGAGUAACCUGCUCGUGACUUUGGGAUAACUUCAGGAAACUGGGGCUAAUACCGGAUAGGAGCUCCUGCUGCAUGGUGGGGUGUGGAAAGUCUCGGCGGUUGGGGAUGGACUCGCGGCUUAUGAGCUUGUUGGUGGGGUAGUGGCUUACCAAGGUUUUGACGGGUAGCCGGCCUGAGAGGGUGACCGGCAACAUUGGGACUGAGAUACGGCCCAGACUCUAACGGGGGGCAGCGGGGGGGAUUAUGCAACAAUGGGCGGAGGCCUGAGCCAGAAACGCGUGGUGCGGGAUGACGGCCUUCGGGUUGUAACCCGCUUUCGCCUGUGACGAGGCGUGAGUGACGGUAAUGGGUAUAGAAGCACCGGCUAACUACGUG